AUGAACGCUAGCUACAGGCUUAACACAUGCAAGUCGAGGGGCAGCAUGGUCUUAGCUUGCUAAGGCCGAUGGCGACCGGCGCACGGGUGAGUAACACGUAUCCAACCUGCCGUCUACUCUUGGACAGCCUUCUGAAAGGAAGAUUAAUACAAGAUGGCAUCAUGAGUCCGCAUGUUCACAUGAUUAAAGGUAUUCCGGUAGACGAUGGGGAUGCGUUCCAUUAGAUAGUAGGCGGGGUAACGGCCCACCUAGUCUUCGAUGGAUAGGGGUUCUGAGAGGAAGGUCCCCCACAUUGGAACUGAGACACGGUCCAAACUCCUACGGGAGGCAGCAGUGAGGAAUAUUGGUCAAUGGGCGAGAGCCUGAACCAGCCAAGUAGCGUGAAGGAUGACUGCCCUAUGGGUUGUAAACUUCUUUUAUAAAGGAAUAAAGUCGGGUAUGGAUACCCGUUUGCAUGUACUUUAUGAAUAAGGAUCGGCUAACUCCGUGCCAGCAGCCGCGGUAAUACGGAGGAUCCGAGCGUUAUCCGGAUUUAUUGGGUUUAAAGGGAGCGUAGAUGGAUGUUUAAGUCAGUUGUGAAAGUUUGCGGCUCAACCGUAAAAUUGCAGUUGAUACUGGAUAUCUUGAGUGCAGUUGAGGCAGGCGGAAUUCGUGGUGUAGCGGUGAAAUGCUUAGAUAUCACGAAGAACUCCGAUUGCGAAGGCAGCCUGCUAAGCUGCAACUGACAUUGAGGCUCGAAAGUGUGGGUAUCAAACAGGAUUAGAUACCCUGGUAGUCCACACGGUAAACGAUGAAUACUCGCUGUUUGCGAUAUACUGCAAGCGGCCAAGCGAAAGCGUUAAGUAUUCCACCUGGGGAGUACGCCGGCAACGGUGAAACUCAAAGGAAUUGACGGGGGCCCGCACAAGCGGAGGAACAUGUGGUUUAAUUCGAUGAUACGCGAGGAACCUUACCCGGGCUUAAAUUGCAGAUGAAUUACGGUGAAAGCCGUAAGCCGCAAGGCAUCUGUGAAGGUGCUGCAUGGUUGUCGUCAGCUCGUGUCGUGAGAUGUUGGGUUAAGUCCCGCAACGAGCGCAACCCUUAUUGUUAGUUGCCAUCAUUUAGUUGGGCACUCUAGCAAGACUGCCGGUGACAAACCGGAGGAAGGUGGGGAUGACGUCAAAUCAGCACGGCCCUUACGUCCGGGGCUACACACGUGUUACAAUGGGGGGUACAGAGGGCCGCUACCACGCGAGUGGAUGCCAAUCCCCAAAACCUCUCUCAGUUCGGACUGGAGUCUGCAACCCGACUCCACGAAGCUGGAUUCGCUAGUAAUCGCGCAUCAGCCACGGCGCGGUGAAUACGUUCCCGGGCCUUGUACACACCGCCCGUCAAGCCAUGGGAGCCGGGGGUACCUGAAGUGCGUAACCGCGAGGAGCGCCCUAGGGUAAAACUGGUGACUGGGGCU
rnacentral:rRNA from 1 species